GGAAAUGCAAAUUGUGUGGAAAGCGAGGACAAAAAUCAUGAUAGCAGAAAUUGCCCUCUAAAGUUGUCAAGUGAUUCAAUGGAACAAGAUAAUAUUGAUGAAGCCACUGAUGAUUUAGAAGAUUCCUUUGAGGAAGAUGAAGUUCUCACUAUUGCGUGAAGUUUGAUCAAGGUUGGCGGAAAGAAGGUUGGCGGAAAGAAGU